UGGGGAAUAUUGCACAAUGGGGGGAACCCUGAUGCAGCGACGCCGCGUGAGCGAAGAAGUAUUUCGGUAUGUAAAGCUCUAUCAGCAGGGAAGAAGAAUGACGGUACCUGACUAAGAAGCACCGGCUAAAUACGUGCC
rnacentral:rRNA from 1 species